ensembl:lncRNA
GGGGGGGUGGCGGAAAAGAAAAGAGAGCACUUUGCAAGCCACCCAGGCUUCAUUACCCCGUCAAUCUGAAGAGAGAGAGAUAGAGAGGGAGAAACAGGCCGGCCAGGGCCCAGCAGUGGGGCCGGAUCCAUAUGGUGCUGCCGGCUCUGGAAUGAAUAGUGAAUGGAGCGGCUGGGCGCUGGGCUGCUGGAAUCUGCCUCCAAGCCUUUGUGAACAGGAUGACCAAAGACAAGAGGGAGCUCUGCAGAUGGCCAGGGCUAUAAAUAGAUGCAGGAGAGGGUGUGAGACUGAAAGCGCGUGAGUGUGGUCUGCACUGCAGGGGGGGGCUGCUCAAACACAAGCCGGGGAACGCAGGGAGAUUGAGCAGUUGUGUUUUCGGUCCAAACUUCUCGCAGAUGGACUUUAAAGUGCACAAAUCGCCUGGUCGGCCACAGAUGCGAUGCCUUGGCUCGACUUGAUGACAUCACUCUGCUUCUCCGUUUGGGUCGAUCGCGCAGCUUCUGGAAACCUGGAACCUCUGGAAACAAUUACUGCUAGCGGCAGACUUUGUUCGAUAUCUGAAUUAAACAGAAAUUAAACCAAGCUUUUAUUGAUUGAUUAUGGGAAUGUGACUUAAGACAGACCUUGAGGUGCUUUUUUUGUGAAGAAAACUCCUUUUAAGAGCCUUUUCCAGAAGAGGCCCCCUGUUCAAACUCCAGCAGACACUUUGUCCCUGUGACUUCCCCCCUAGAAGACAAUACACAGCGGAGACCGAUUCAUUCGUGUGACUUAUCUGGCUUAUCAGUGCUGUGAAAAUAAGAAAUACAGUGUUUAUCAGCUGGUGUGUUUUUUGUUUUGGUGCGUGGCAACAGUCAUUAUCCAUCACAGUGGUGUUGUGUUGUGUCACAGCAACCCGGAGGUUGUCAAGUGUCUGUGACUACAGCUGCAGGGCUCACGCCGAAGAAUUACGAAGCUUCCGCAGAUAUUUUUAUAUCUGCGCUGCGGCGCCCUGAUGUAAGUCGAGAAGAAGGUCCUGAUAUUGCAACACUCAUUAGAAGGGUGGAGGUGUGAUUAUAAUGAGUUAUUACAAAGAUUAAAAGACACAUUCUCUACUUGUUUUG